UAUACAAAUAACUCAAUAAAA
rnacentral:piRNA from 1 species